rnacentral:rRNA from 1 species
GACGAACGCUGGCGGCGUGCUUAACACAUGCAAGUCGAACGGAAAGGCCCUUCUUUUGUGGGGUGCUCGAGUGGCGAACGGGUGAGUAGCACGUGAGUAACCUGCCCUUGACUUUGGGAUAACUUCAGGAAACUGGGGCUAAUACCGGAUAGGAGCUCCUGCUGCAUGGUGGGGGUUGGAAAGUUUCGGCGGUUGGGGAUGGACUCGCGGCUUAUCAGCUUGUUGGUGGGGUAGUGGCUUACCAAGGCUUUGACGGGUAGCCGGCCUGAGAGGGUGACCGGCCACAUUGGGACUGAGAUACGGCCCAGACUCCUACGGGAGGCAGCAGUGGGGAAUAUUGCACAAUGGGCGGAAGCCUGAUGCAGCAACGACGAGUGAGGGAUGACGGCCUUCGGGUUGUAAACCGCUUUCGCCUGUGACGAAGCGUGAGUGACGGUAAUGGGUAAAGAAGCACCGGCUAACUACGUG